GAGAGAGAAGCUCUGGGACCAGGGUACUUUCAGGAAUGGAAACUUGUUUGACUACUACAAGACGAAGGGUACCCCUACUGGGGAAAAGGAUACCUCCUAUCUACAGUCUGUACGUAUCACAAUAUAGUAAACCUAAGAAUCAGCAAACGUUUCAUUCUGAUGACGGACUCAAGGUCGAAACACUGGUGAUUUCAAACUGCUCUCACUAAAGAUCUCACAAGAUUGUUUUAGAAAAGAAGCCAACAAAAUGAAUAAAGCUCUGUUGCUGUGUUUAGUGCUGCUUUGUGCCACGGUUGUCUUUACAGCAGAAGAUCUGAAAGAAGAUUAUGUACCAGAAAAACGAGCAGCAGCAUGUUAUUGUAAAGGCAAGGCUGGUCGAGGAGAUAAGUGGAUUUUACGGGGCACCUGUCCUGGAGGAUAUGGAUACAACAAUAAUUGCUAUCAGAGACCGAAUGUUUGCUGUUACCCUCAGUAUUUCGGUUGACGUUAACUGGUUUGUUGAGAAUAAAUUCUAAAGUUAAGACAGAUAGUGUAAUGUAGCCUGCACUUAAAUAAAAUGGGGCUAAAAACGUUGCAAUGUUGUUAUCAAAGAUGAAGCCAAAAAUUCGUGUGUUAGAAAUAAGGAAAAACUUACAAAAUAAAUAAAAUAAAGCAUAACUGAAUUAUUUUGAA